rnacentral:rRNA from 1 species
GCUAGCGGCCAUACCAUGACGAAUACACCGGAUCUCUUCCGAACUCCGAAGUUAACCGUCAUAGGGCCCGGUCAGUACUGGGGUGGGGGACCGCCUGGGAAGUCCUUAGGGUGCUGCUAGCU